CACAGAUUUCCAGAGGGGGUUGAUUGUGUAUUCCCGCCGAUAUUAUCAACUUCAAUGUGUGCCACUGGAGUGCUGUGAGAGCAGGCUGGACAUUUUCCCUGUAUUGCGCUCAGGGAUUUUCGUGAUGCAGCUCGCCAUCACAAGCUAAAUUUCGAAGGCUAUCACAGGGACAGGGCUUCCGUAGCGUGAAGGUGCCCCUGUUCCACAUAUGUAGUGUAUUCAGUGUCCAUCUCAGAACAAAGCUCACUUAGCAUGCUUAUGUUGGAUAUCAGAAAGGGACACUGUAAACAAACAACAUUUGAGUUAGUACUGUUGUGGUUCUCACCAUAGCUCUGCAAAUUUUGUUCCCUGAAAUAUAGCACGAACGAAAGGGAUCAUCAUGGUACCAACUGACAGGUACUUCAAAUUCAGUUCAGUGAUACUCAUUUCACUGGUUUUGGAAAGUUCAACAUGUGCCUCACGGGCUAAGAUAUAUGAUUUUAAGACUGCCCGAAUGUUGGUAAGUAAAUGCUUAUUGCACAUCUUUCGGCAAGACCUUACCAGAGUAGCUCUUCAUUGUGUAUAAAAAACUGUAGAUAUUAGUUCAAUGAUCUGUGUAUGUCUGAUCCUUUUUCCCCGGGUACAGGCAAAAAUAUCUGUUGAUUCAUCCGUUUCUAUAAUGUGGGUUAACAACUGAUUUUUCUUAGAUAUGAACUCCUUGAAUGUAGCUACACCAACCAGAGCAUGGUGAAGUAGAUGUAUCUUUCUCCUUUUACCCCCCAAUCACAAAUUAAAUGUCAAUUUCCGCCAUCACCUUCUUGUGUUGUAAGCAUUUACAGAUUAUUAUUUGUUAUAUGCUGCCUAAUUUGAUGCAGAGCAGUGCCAAUAUUGGUAUUCCUAAAUUCCUGUUAUGAAAUAUUGGUUUUUGUCCAGUAGCAAAAGGUUACAGUCUACUGUUUAACCUCUGAUUGCUAGUCAAGUGGCCUUCAUGGAUGUGCAUUAUUUGGAGCAUGUUUGGAUGCCAACCCUAAGUGGCCUGGCCAAAAUUUGGCUAUUGGCCAUGGGCAUCAGCGAUGUUUGCAUGAUAGCACCGAUUUGGCUUGAUCAGACUUCUGUAGUUUAUUUUUGCCACGAAGGCUGGCCAAAUCGGGACAGCCAAAUCAGCCGCCAAAUUUUGGCCUCGGCUGAUGCUUUGACUUGGCCACUUGGGGCCAACAUCCAAACAUGCCCUUGAUUUUCAGUAUCGCUGUUAGUAAUUAUGCUCGUGUCAGUUUUAGUAGCUUUUAUGUUAUAAUCUUAAUAUGUCAGACUUCAUCCUAUGGAUGAGUACCCUAUUCAUAGGAUGUUAGUAUUACUGCAAGCAAAAGUUAUUUUAGGUAUCUGACUUCCAUUUAGAAAUAGUGAAUCAUCCCUGUUUUGGUCAGGAGCAGAAUUCCUGGUGCUUUAGCAUUUUACAAUAAGCAGCUCUGUGAGGGGAUAAGUUUACUCAAUAGUAAUCCUCAAGGUGAGGAAUGAUUUGUAAUUAUUUACAGAGCAUAUGCAUUGAGAAUUCUAUCUCAGUCAGUAACCAUUACAUGUGUUUGUAAUUGUAAAUGGACCCCAUGAAUCCAUGAUGAUAAGUGCAACUUUUAUUGCUUAUUUCUGAAUGUGCCUUUACUUUUAGCUAAUCUUAAUUAACACUGAAAUAAGAAAGGACCAACUUACAAUCUGAACUAAUUACAUUAACUCUCCAACUGCAAGAAGAUAUGAAACCUUUCACGUUUUCAUCAAAUCUGAAUCGUUAUCCCUGUCUUUCCAAAUAGUUUGACCGCAGAGAUUAUAAAAAGAGCCUUGUUUAUCAUCUUUACAUGUCAAGACUCAGAAUCACUGAACCAUUAUUUGAUAACAAGAUCAGUUCAGUGGUCAUUAAGAGUGCUUUUCCCUUAAUUCAUAUUAGCUACUUAAUUCCUCAAAUAUAAAUGAAACUGAAGUCAACAAAGGUAGAAUAUUUAAGAGUGUUAGAUUGCUUGUCUAUCAUUGGCACAAAUUUCUUUACUCUUUUAUUUUCUUCGGUUAUGCAAAACUAGCUGAAAAUGUCACACACCAAAUUUUUUUUCGCCAUAUGCAUACUAUGAUAGAUAGACCAUCAGAGCAUAAGGCCAUCCUCCCUAAAUACAAACUUAACCGUGGAGAGGGCUUGGACAUACUGCUUAAAUUUCAAUGCAUUCUUUGCUUGAAUUCAUGUUGACUAUUGGUCUUUUCUCUUUUUUUUCUUUUGAUCAUACCCUAUACUCAUUACGCCAUUCCCCUCAAGAAUAAACCUUAUAUUGCCUGAAAGUUUAUACAUUAGCAUACUGUCAUGUACUGUCAAAUGCUUAACUAAGAUCAGACUACGUUAAUCUUUUUUUGGAGGGCAUCAUACUGAGUUAUCUAAUUAACUUUGCUAUAAACAUAAAGUGCAUGAUAUGUUUGUUCUUUUUUAUUUGCAGAGAAAGGUCCACCAUUUACUGUAAUUGGUCCCCACAUUUACUUUCAUCUUUGUACAUUUGCAGGUUCCUACUAUGGCUGCGUCCACACCAACAAAAUCAUGGACGCUUGUGAGGUAGAGGAUCAGAUUACCAUUAAGUUCAGGUUAGGUUAUGAUGAUGCAAUAUCUUGACAAGUUUUGUUGGUCUUGACAUCCUGCCUUCAAGAUUUUCUAUCCUCAGGUUUCUUCCAUGAUGCACACACAAUUCGACUAGACUGCAAGAGCAUGUUUGUCAAUAAGCAUUACGAAGAGAAACCUGUAGUUGCAGGUGCACCCUGAUGGAGAAAGAUACCAUUAGCUUCAGGUAUAUUUCAAUUAUAUGAUGCUUCUCACAUGAUAUUCUGUUUUCUGGACCAUUCUUUGCUAAAAAAAAAUAAUGACGGUGUGACUUCGGAAAAGUCUAAUGAGACACUACUGCGGUCCACAACUAUGGAAUGCUCAUUAUUGAUCGUAGCGAUAUGAUGAACUAGGAUACAAGAACUGACCUCUGGCAGGUAAGCCUUUUAUUCCCCAUUCACUCAUUCCCAGCCAGUGAUAUGAUGAAUUAGGAUCCCCUUUUUUGCGCAUAUCAUGAUUACUUUGAUGUACCUAUAUGUUCCUCCAAUUCGUUUCUGAAAAAUAGAUCAGCUACAACUAAAAGGUGUAUACUAAAAUAUUUUAAGAAAUACCAAUUUUGUGGACUGAGAAUACGAUUUUGCAAAGAUGUUACUUUGAAGUAAUUAUAUGAAUAUAAACUCAUACCUUCAUUAUGCGUGCUACCAUGGAGUCUCAAACAAAGAACCGACGUUUAGCAGGUAAGCCUUUUAUUAUGAAUUUAAUCAGAUUCCCAGCACUGUUCCUUCUUGUAGCAUAGCAUAUUUUAUAUACUUCAGAAUAACUGUUUCCAUCACUAUGUUAAAGUGAUGGUGAAUUCACCCAUAUUAUCAUUCAACAACUAAACAAUUCAAGGCAGUAUCAAGGUACACACAAUGUUGCUUCUCUCCUUGACAUCUCUUCUAUUUACAUACUCACUUUUCUUAUUUCAUCACAUCUACUAACAAAUCAUCUUAGAAGUACCUUCCACCUUUCUGGAGUGAUGAAACCAACACCACAUCGACAAGCACUCUGAUGGCAAUGCUGAUUUCCUCCAUAAACCUGAAGACUACCUUUUAUUUAAUUGCGCUUGUUCAGAUACAACUUCUGUCAAACUUAAUGAUCUUAUUAAAUGCAUGUUCGGACUCAACCACUGUCGGACUCAGUAAUCUUGUAAAAUAUAUGUGCUUGUUCGUACUUAAUUACUGUCAAACUUAUUAGUCCCAAGUUAUCUGAAACAAUGUUAUGUGUAC